rnacentral:lncRNA from 1 species
GGCCUUUCCUCUUGGAAAUCUCCUCCCUCUCCCUAGAGAGAGAGAGAGCUGUUUUCUUUUCUUUUUCUUUUCCCAUUAAACCUCUGCUCCUAAACUCCUCAUAUGUGUCUGUGUCCUAAAUUUUCUUGGUGCAAGAGGAUGAACCCCAGGUUCAGGGAAUGCAUGUGGAGGUUUGGUACAUGGCGAUAUUGCUUGUUGCUGAGGCUCAGUGUAAGAAUGAUCCUGUCACCAAGAAGGAAACAAGAAUAAAGACCCUUGUAUAUGGAGUAUAAAAGAAGAAAUGAAUAAUGCAGCUGACUGAAGAGGGGGACUCAGUAACUGAAGAGCUGGGAAAGCGGAUUGAAAGGAUUGAAGACUUAGGUGUUUGCCUCAAGACCCUGGGAGUUCUUUAUCCAGUUCUCUUAUUUUUGUUUUGUUUUGUUUCUCAUUUGAUGGGAAGAAAAGAUUUGAGAGAAGGGUAACUCCAGGAAGCUGUUUUAACAACCUCAGAACUAGAAUACUUUGCCACAGAGUUAUAAGAUACUUCUUUUUUGCUUUUACUUUUGUUUUUGUUUUUUGACAUUUGUUUCUGUUUCAAAAAUGUUCAAUUAAAAUAUGUGGCAAAGACAUUCUGUUCACACACCCCAUCCAUUGCAAUGACAGUUCCCAGCUUCAAACCUGCAAACCGACUUUUUUUUGGAAACCAGUUUGUCUCCUAAUAGCAUUUGGUUGCUUUUAUCUCCUUACUUUUGAUUUAAAAAAAUGUUUUUCUCCUUCUAUGUGAAAUUUCAUUUCAAAAAGAAGACUGAUGGCAGGCAUUGAAUCUGGAAGCUCUUCCACCCAGAGUGACAAAAAUAAAGAGUGAUGCUGAAAGCUGCACUGCAUGAAAUCCUCUCUCUGCCGUCCUUUCUCCAAAUCCCUUGCUGGCUCUAAAGAGAUCUCCUGAGAACAGAAAUUGUACAUUGACAUUGACUGGUUUUUAUUCAACGAUUAAGCCACACCUCAUCUCCUGUAUUUUCCAAAUAGACAGCAGGGCUGUUUUCUUAAAAGUGAAAGAAAACGUUGACAAGGAUCUCACUAUAUUAGAUCAUUUCCAAGGUCACUCAUGACCCUAUUAUCUCCUGCUCUCCAGUAGCCUAAACACGGGAUCAGAGGGUAGUAGAAUAUCCUUAACAUUGGCUUCUAUAGGUGUGUUGCUGCUAACUUGGAGAGGGCAGAGACAGGCUAUUACAGACUUCUUUCAUGAUGCAAAUGUGGGAGCUAGUCCUUUGUUACCAG